rnacentral:rRNA from 1 species
UACGUAGGUGGCAAGCGUUAUCCGGAAUUAUUGGGCGUAAAGCGCGCGUAGGCGGUUUUUUAAGUCUGAUGCGAAAGCCCACGGCUCAACCGUGGAGGGUCAUUGGAAACUGGAAAACUUGAGUGCAGAAGAGGAAAGUGGAAUUCCAUGUGUAGCGGUGAAAUGCGCAGAGAUAUGGAGGAACACCAGUGGCGAAGGCGACUU